rnacentral:misc_RNA from 1 species
UGCUGCUGUGGCUCUCCUGUACCUACGCGUGGUAAGAACCAACGCGCUAAGCAUAAUGCUUAGUGGUGCAUAUAUUGAAAUAAAAAUAAACAAAUAACUAAAAUAAUUAUUCUACGUGUAUUCUUAUAGGAAAAUAUAAAAUUUUAUGAAUUUUCUAGGUCUUUUACAUGUUUAUAGAACUUUGGACAAAAUAAAUUAAUCGGAGUCUUUUUAUCAUGUAUCUUAUGUUUAAUUCAAUGAAGUUCACCUUAACAAUCUUCUCAUGUAUUUAUUUUAAUUAAAAAUUUCUACUCAUUUCUGUGCCCAAGUAACCUAUGACAGA